GGGGACCAUCUAGCUGCGACAUCUGUCACCCCAGUGAUGGCCCGGAUUGAUGUGGCUGGCUGGGCGGGUGUCCCCUUCCUC
rnacentral:snRNA from 1 species